GUGUGCGUGACCCAAAUUAUAUCGUGUAAGUUGUUUACAUUUAGCACAACUAUAAGCUCCAAAUUUUCAGAAUUUUCUAGGGUUUCUUUUAUUCUUCGUUUUCGAUACCAAUUUCAGUGGCUGAAAUGAAAAAGUUUGAGUAAUGCUAUUCAUCAUUAUAAUUAUGAAACAGGGGUGAUGUGGUAGUGUAUGUGUUUUAAUGAGAUUGGACAGUUGAGAAAGAAAAUAGGAGAUAGAAUUUAACUACUUAAUCCCCUUAAAGUACAUACACUGCCACAUCACAUUGUUUCAUCAUUAUAAUGAAGAACAACAUUAUUCAAAAAGUUUAGGUAAAAGACAAACCUUCUUCUUCAUCAUUCGUCAGCAUCUCAUGAGAGCGGACUCAGUUGUAGUGGUACUGGGGCUGCUGAAGAAGAUGAUUUCUUCACAGUUCAACUCAAUUUUGUGACAGUAUUUGUUGGGUUAAAACACUUGCAAAACACAAAAUAAAACAAAGAUUAAUACAAGAAAUCAAAUAGAGAAUAAUAAAAAGAGAAAUCUAAAAUGAGAACUCCCUUCUUCUCCAAGCUUAGCGGCGGGUGGGCCCAGUUUAAAUUCAAUACACCACAAUGAAACCACACAAUAGCUUCACCCAAAAGGGCAAACCACUCUAAAUGCCCAAGAAGAAAUGCUCACAUAAGAGCCAUCUCAAUUCCGCAAAGAGAAUCCUACAAAUAUAUAAUGCUCUCACAAAGAGAAAGAAACCAACAACUCCAGCCGGCCACCGCCAAAGAGAGAAAACCGUCGCCCUCUAGCCACCUCACAAAGGGGAAGGCACAAAAAGGGAAAAAAGC
rnacentral:lncRNA from 1 species